CUCUUUAUAAAAUCGCGGGUAAGACCACACCUUGAAUAUGCUGUGCAAUUUUAGGCACCUGUUCUAAAGAAAGAUAUCUUGGCACUAGAAAAAGUGCAGAGACGAGCUACAAAAUUAAUACAAGGAAUGGAGCAUUUUAGUUAUGAAGAAAGGUUAAAAAAAUUUAAAUCUCUUUAGUCUGGAAAAACGGCGCCUGAGAGGGGAUAUGAUAACAUUAUACAAAUAUAUUCGGG
rnacentral:lncRNA from 1 species